rnacentral:rRNA from 1 species
UUGGGAAAAGAAUUGAUCCUGGCUCAGGAUGAACGCUGGCGGCGUGCCUAAUACAUGCAAGUCGAGCGAACAGACGAGGAGCUUGCUCCUUUGACGUUAGCGGCGGACGGGUGAGUAACACGUGGGUAACCUACCUAUAAGACUGGGAUAACUUCGGGAAACCGGAGCUAAUACCGGAUAAUAUUUCGAACCGCAUGGUUCGAUAGUGAAAGAUGGCUCUGCUAUCACUUAUAGAUGGACCUGCGCCGUAUUAGCUAGUUGGUAAGGUAACGGCUUACCAAGGCAACGAUACGUAGCCGACCUGAGAGGGUGAUCGGCCACACUGGAACUGAGACACGGUCCAGACUCCUACGGGAGGCAGCAGUAGGGAAUCUUCCGCAAUGGGCGAAAGCCUGACGGAGCAACGCCGCGUGAGUGAUGAAGGUCUUCGGAUCGUAAAACUCUGUUAUUAGGGAAGAACAAACGUGUAAGUAACUGUGCACGUCUUGACG